UACAUUGUGACCGGAAGUUGGCCUAUUGU
rnacentral:piRNA from 1 species